GAUGAAGAACGCAGCGAAAUGCGAUAAGUAAUGCGAAUUGCAGAAUUCAGUGAGUCAUCGAAUCUUUGAACGCACAUUGCGCCCUGUGGUAUUCCGCAGGGCAUGCCUGUUCGAGCGUCAUUUCAACCCUCAAGCUCUGCUUGGUGUUGGGCCCUGCCCGCUGCGGCCGGCCCUAAAGACAGUGGCGGUGCCGCCUGGCCCUGAGCGUAGUACAUCUCUCGCUCCAGUGCCCGGUGGUAGCCUGCCAGAACCCCAACUCUCGUGGUUGACCUCGGAUCAGGUAGGGAUACCCGCUGAACUUAAGCAUACAAUAAGCGGAGGA
rnacentral:misc_RNA from 1 species